AUUGAACGCUGGCGGCAGGCCUAACACAUGCAAGUCGAGCGAGUGGCGGACGGGUGAGUAAUGUCUGGGAAACUGCGUGAUGGAGCGGGAUAACUACUGGAAACGGUAGCUAAUACCGCAUACCAUCGGAUGUGCCCAGAUGGGAUUAGCUAGUAGGUGGGGUAAAGGCUUACCUAGGCGCCGAUCCCUACCUGGUCUGAGAGGAUGACCAGCCAAACGGGGACUGAGACACGGUUCAUACUCCUACGGGAGGCAGCAGUGGGGAAUAGUGCACAAUGGGCGAAAGCCUGAUGCAGCCAUGCCGCGUGGAUGAAGAAGGUCGUCGGGUUGUAGAGUACUUUCAGCGGGGAGGCGUUACCCGCAGAAGAAGCACCGGCUAACUCCGUGCCAGCAGCCGCGGUAAUAC
rnacentral:rRNA from 1 species